AACGAACGCUGGCGGCAUGCCUAACACAUGCAAGUCGAACGAGACCUUCGGGUCUAGUGGCGCACGGGUGCGUAACGCGUGGGAACCUGCCCUUAGGUUCGGAAUAACUCCCCGAAAGGGGUGCCUAUACCGGAUAAUUUCUUUGGACCAAAGAUUUAUCGCCUUUGGAUGGGCCCGCGUUGGAUUAGCUAGUUGGUAGGGUAAAAGCCUACCAAGGCGACGAUCCAUAGCUGGUCUGAGAGGAUGAUCAGCCACACUGGGACUGAGACACGGCCCAGACUCCUACGGGAGGCAGCAGUGGGGAAUAUUGGACAAUGGGCGAAAGCCUGAUCCAGCAAUGCCGCGUGAGUGAUGAAGGCCUUAGGGUUGUAAAGCUCUUUUACCCGGGAUGAUAAUGACAGUACCGGGAGAAUAAGCUCCGGCUAACUCCGUG
rnacentral:rRNA from 1 species